CCUUAGUUUCCAAGGCACCUCAGAAUAUUAUGGUGAUGAAUGAGACCCUAUUUGAAUUUUUAAGUGUUUAUUUUGGUUAAAAAAUAAACAUCAUACUCCUGGAAUGGAAAAGGGAAGGUAACAGUUUAAUUUGUUUUCAGAAGACUGGAGAGCGACAUGAAAAUGGCCCAGGCUUAUAACCACCUAGGUCAGUGUAUGAUGCAGUGGUGGAAAGACACUUCCAAAUUUGGAGUCAGAAAAAUUUACUGGUUUCUUUAAAAAGUCACUUACUAACUGUGUGUUUUGGGGAAAGUUACCUAACCUCUCUGAGCUUCCAUUUCCUCUUCUGAAAAAAUGGGAUAAUAGCAAGGCUCUGCCUCAUGAGAUUAUUGAGAGUCACUUGAAAUAAUGCAUGUGAAAAGGCUGUAUCCAUUUCAACCGCCAUGUCAGAAUUGCCAUUAGUACCCAAGCCUCUCAACUCCCAGUUCUGGAUUCCUUGUAAGAGCUUUCUUGCCUAUGUAUUUUAAUAAUGAACAAUGAAGCCCUGACUUUUUGAAACUGAAGAGCAUAAAGGUCAACAUCAGCAGAUGCUGUAUGUACAUUGUGACCCAGAACAGCCUAGGGAAAACAGAGACCCCAAAGUGCUGUUGAGUGACAAGCGAUUGGGAUGACCAACCCCAUUGUCUGCUUUGGUGGUUUGAUGGCCCCACUCCUGCUGGGAGAGUGAGCCACCAACCAGGCAGAGUCCCUCAUGUACCGUUUUCCUGGGGAGGAUGGAGAAGCCGGUAUAAUACAUACUGCCCAAGGGAGUUUCCAGAGGCUCAGCCCUGGACUUUCCCUCCUCUCUCAGCCCUCUCUCCCAAGUAUAAAAUGUCCUGGUCAGCCACAUGCCUCUGGCUAAGGCCCACUGCCCUUUAGAGCCGUAUGGUCGUAUCUGCUUGGUCUGGCAUCCUCGCAGAUUUGAUUGGGCCUCUGUAGCCAUAACCCAGCUACUUCUCCUGCAGGGAAAGCCAAAAUCCUCAGCCCUAGCUUGAAUUCUCAGCAGCCACCCUGCAUCCUUUCCCUUCUUGGUUUUCUUCAGCUCUGGUAAUCAGAUCCCAGAGUAGAUCGUCUUGACCCUCCUUAGCCUCUACGCCUCUCCAGACAGGCGGGCAGGUGGAAGGACUGGUUUGGGGACUGCUGUUUACAUGUCUGUUUAUCCCUGUAUCUGAUUUGCCUCCACCUGUAUGUGGCAAUGCCUGGCAGUGCUAGGAGGGCCUCUCCAUGGGACUUGAGGUGGGUGGAGGGACCUGAUCAGGUGGCAGGGGGUGGGGACAGUGAUCGUGGUGCCAAAGUUGUAGCACAUGUGUUUCAAAUAGCCUGGAUUUUAUUUGUCUGUUCCUUUGUCCCUCCCCUUUCACCCAGGUCUGCAGCCAAAUCUCCUCCCCUUUCCACAGCAACAAAGCGGUCUCCUCCUCCCACAGACUGGGCCGGGACUGGCAUCCCAGGUAAACAACCCCAUUCUUCCUGUUUCCUCUAGGAAUGUCUCAGCUCUCACUGAGUUUAACUCACUGGUUUCCCCCUACCCCUUUAACAGGGCACUAACCCCUCUGGGGAGAGGGGAUAGCAGGGAACUAUCCAUUGGCACAGGGGAAAUCCAAGCUACAGCAAGUGGGGGGACAAUUUACCAAGUGUCACUGGUGGGGCCACAGUUAGAAUCCAGAGAUUCCAGCUCCCAGGCCAGCCUCCUUCAUGCUCCAGGCACUGAACUCCAACCCUGCACAGGCCCCAGCAUUGCUCCUCUGAGAGCCAGGCUCAGCUCACUUCUCAGGCAUACCAAGAUGGCCACGAACCCUACCUAGGUGCUCUCAAGCCCCAAGAGGGAGACUAGAAUACUACAGACCUGAUGUCCCAGACCACAAAGCCAGUGUCUUUCACCUCUGGGCCACUAUUCCAGAUUGCCUCCUGCAGUGGGCACGUAUAUAGGCCAGUGGGCUGAGGUCUGGGAGAGGGGUUGUUUGCAGAGCUGCCAUGGUUCCACACAGCACCUUUUUUCCAACUAGGAAAAAGGCACCUCUUCUGGCCAGGUGCAGUCUCAUGCCAAGGUGGACAGAUUGGCGACAGCAGCAUGAGCUGUAUCUUAGCUGCCAUUCCUCCCCUGAUCUGGGUGCCCCUGUACAGUUAAUAACCUGCACAGCUGCAUGAGAUGGCUCUGCACAGAUGGUUGGGCAGAAUGGUUGGGAAUGACUGCAGAGAUCUCUGUGCUAAGAUCCCCAUGGCUCACCAAGAGCCCGGCCUUCAGAGAGGGCUGAGGCCACUAAAAGUACCUGGAGGGGAAGCUCGCCAUCUAGUGGUUGAAAUGGGGACACCAGCAUCAUAAGCUGCUCUUCCGCCUCCUCCUGGCUGCCCUCUCCAGAAUCUCAUAGCCAUGGGCUUACAGCUGGAAGAGAUCUUAGAAUCUUCAAGAUCAACUCUCAUCUCUUAUCAUAUUUUGGCAUGGAGAGACUGGUAGCAGAGAGACCACAUAGAAGAUUAUGAAGAUCAUCCAGGGGAGGGGUCAUAAAGGAUUGGCUUAGAGUUGUGGCAAUAAGAAGAGGGGAUGAUUGAGGAGAUGCUUUGGGAAGUUGAAUCAGUGCAGUUUGCCAGUGGAUUGGAGAUGAAAGGAGGAGGGAGAAGGUCUAGCAGAGAGCCCCAUAAGUCUUUGUCAAAUGAAAGAACAAAUGAUUUAAUGAAAAGGAAGGUUCAAAGAGGACUGGGGCUUUGUCCUGAGGGUCUGGUCUAUGCCACACUCUCCUCACACACCCUCUCCCUGCAAACUAAGACCAAAUUCAUGAUGGUUUCAGACUAAAAGACCCUUCACUGGGGGAAAGACUCCUAAACUUCUCUCUAGAGGUCCUUUUACCUUCUUCAUCAUAAGGAUACCUAUCUGAAUGGUAAACCCAAAUAUCCCAGAGGAGAAGAAGUAAUGUUUAGUCUACAAAAAGUAAAUCAAAAAGGAGAGAAGAGGUGGAUUUAGCCCUUUGAGCUAGCUGGCCACAGUGCCUGGACCCCUAGGCCCAGAUUCCACUCUAUCCUUGUGGAAUGAUAGAUGUCCUUAAGAUCGGAUUCAUUCCUGACCCCAAAUAGGCACAGCAUGGUUCUAGGUUUAAGGGUACGUUUUCCUAUGAAAAUAAGCUCAAGAAAUAAUAUUUGGCUGGGCACGGUGGCUCAUACUUGUAGUCCCAGCACUUUGGGAGGCCAAAGCAGGUAGAUCACUUGAGCCCAGGAGUUUGAGACCAGCUUGGGCAACAUGGUGAAGCCCUGUCUCUAAAAAAACAAAAGUUAGCCAGGUGUGGUGGCACACGCCUGUAGCCCCAGCUGUUCAGGAGCCUGAGGCAGGAGAAUGACUUAAGCCCAGGAGGUUGACGCUGCAGUGAGCAGUGAUUGUGCCACUACACUCUAGCCUGGGUGACAGAGUGAGAUCCUGAUUC
rnacentral:lncRNA from 1 species